CAUAGCUCACUGUUACAUGUAUUUGGAUAAGUGAGUUUAUUGUUUGAUUUAAUUUUCAUUGUAAAAACUUAUGCAAUGUUGUGUUUAUUGUGAUUUUCAAAUUUUUUUCUCUAAGUUUAAUGUUAAUGUACUAUAAUACUAGUACAUUAUUCUGUUUUAGCUGAUAAGAGUAUGUUAAGUUUGAUAUUUGCAAGGAAGUUAUAUUCAUCUUUUGUUUGAUGUUAUUUACUGUUUUGAUUUGUCUUCUGUUUGACUUUUGUACUUGUUCAUUAUUUACUUUGUUUUCCUUUUCCUUUUCUCCUUGUUACAAUUCCUUAGACUAGGUUAGAGUAAGAUAGUUGAGUGUAGGUUGUUUGUUAUUUGGGUAGAUUUCUUAGUUUAGGUAACUGGUAAGUAUUUUAGAUUUGUGCAAUAGGGGGGGAAUGUGAUAAAGGAUGGAAAGGUUUGCAAUGUGCAAAACUGCAAGAACUGAAUAGUGCAAACCUAGGAAUGAUUGACAGUGGCAUGUGACCAAGGGUCACAUGGGAGCCUGAGCUGGAGGAUCUGGGAAGACUCCAUCUUGCCCCAACAGACUCUUCUUCUGGUCUCCUGAGGAAGUCAAGAGGAAGGUCUGAAGAGGAUUUUCCCUGUGUUGAACUGAGGAAAGGUUCCUGUAUCAUUCAGUCUCACUUGGACAUCAGGACUUGCUUGGACAUCUAACAACAACAGAUCCUGGCUCUAACUGCUUUUUGGACCCCUGCUGAGUGAAAGAGUACUGGAGAUAGCUAUCACCUCAUGUGCUUUUCAAGGUCAAGAAGGACAAGAAUAUCAAGGGUGAGAUUGGGAGACACAAGAUUACAGCCAAGAAGAAAUGAGAAGUAUGCCAUAUCAGAAAGAAGAGAAACUCCGAGCUUCCCAGCCUGUUAUGUUGUGCCAAUCAGCCUGCAUUCCUCAGACUACAUUAGCAACAUGCCAAUAAUUCAGUGCUCCCAAGAUGUGUGACGGGUUUUCACAACACAUUUUUAUGAGUAAACUCACGCUUUCCUCUCCUCCUGUGUCAGAGACUGAAUGACUCAUAGGAACCAAAAUUAAAAGCUGGAUGGAAACUGGGGGAUCAUCAACUAUUACCCCUUUCUGAUACAGAUGCUUGCUCAAGGUCAUAUAGAAAAUAAAUGGAUUAGAGAGGAUUUGAACUUAAGUCCA
rnacentral:lncRNA from 1 species